ensembl:lncRNA
UUUUUUUUUUUUUUUGAACUGUCUUAACUUUAUAACUAGCUUAAAGUAACUGAGAAAAUGUUUAAAUUUAAAAAUGAUGAAUAGUCCUGGAUCAAUGCCCUAAAAAUGUCAUGUGACCUUCCUGAUAUAUAACUCUUAAUUUUGGAACUUACUGACUCCAGUCAAGAAUUUUUGGUGAUGAUAAAAUACUGAUACAUAGAAAAAGAAAUACCAGGAGGUUGAGAAAUGAACUUUUGUUCGCAGGUAUCACCAUUUCCAGAAAAAUGGAAAAAGAAGAAAGAACACCUGCAAAACUUCAGUGCAUUACAUAUUUCAUAAGCAUAACCUCCAGGUGAUAUUAAUGUAAUCAUUUACAUGGGAAUAUUAAUUUUUGCAACAUUUGUGGCACUAGUUAGUUAACCUGUUCUUUACAGAAGGGUUAGACUCCUGAAGCAGCCUCUGGAAGCUACAGAGGCAGGUGCUGGCCUGCCAUUCUCUACCCACCUCAACACCACGGCCCUGAUUCUGCGAAGUGUUACACAUGUGCAUGCCAUCCCCUCACAGACAUUGUGCUCAGGCUGCGACGUUGUCUGCAGGCUAGGACAAGACCGGAGAGCUGUAUCCCCGUUGGAGUCACACAGUUAGAGAGCACCUGCUCAUGGCACCCGUCUUGGGAUGUGGAGAGGAAACAUGAGCUAAUAAGCACUUCUGUUUCCCAUCCGUCCGAGUGUGACUCUGCGCAAAAUAAGGCACCUGGUGAUGCUGGGUCCUCAACAGGAGGAAAGCCAGCAGACUCUUGAUUGCUCCGGGGUCCUGCUCCCCUCACCUUCCCAAAGCCCAGGCUGCCUUCCAGCCCUGGAUCCCGGCAAAGAUCGAGCUGUUUGCCAGUCUUCUCUCGCUCUGUGGGCAACGUUAAGGUGGAAAGGGCAGAUGAGGAUGUAAAUGCAGACAUCUGCCCUUUGUGGUGUCCCUGUCCGAUCACGAUGCAGGGGAAAGAAGACGAGGGGACAGGGUGAAUGGAUGUGUGUGUCAGUCAGCAGGGGGAUGAUCUAAGUAUCUGAAGUCAUUCGAAAGGUCAAAGCAAGCAUUAACUCUUCCCCGCCCUCCCUCCUCCUCGGGGGCUCAGGGGAAAUCACAGUCCGCCCAAACUAGAUGACAGCUUGCUGGGACUUAAUGACAGGCUCGGGGCAGACGAGUCGCGGCCGCCCAGACAAAGGGAGGAAGUUCGGUGCUGCCGCCGACCCGAGAAGGGGCAAGGGCAGGGGCCGAGCCGGGACAGGGAGUCAGCGGCAGCCGCUCCGCUCCCCCCGGCCGCCCCACGGGGCUCCACAUCACCGGAGCGCUCGGAACAGCCCCGGCAGCUUCCCUCCCCUCCGAGAUCUCGCCGUAAACCUGCCUCCUCCGCCGAGCACUGCAAAAUGAACGGCAGCCUCAGGCAGGAGAGACGGGGAGCGGGCAGGACGCGAGGUAAGCGCAGCUCCGCCGUCCCCGGCCGGCGGGGACACCUCCAGCCCCGGGUGGCUCUGUGGCUUUAAGCGAUUCGAGGGAAACCUCGCGUUUUUCACACACAUUUUUUUCCCCUGCCGGUCUCUCUCCCCUCCCCGGUUUCCUCCAGCUCUUCCCCUCUCCUGCCGCCCUCUCUCCCGCUCCCUCUCCCUCCUUUUCUCCUCCCCCCGCAGCCACCCUCCUCCUUUCUCCCUCCCCUCAAGUUUCUCCCUCUGAUUAAAUGAGAAGGAAGUGUGGGAGUGGUGGUUUUGAAGCUCUCCCUUUAAGAGGCAGCCUGCAGUGACGAAUUGUUGAAAUUGCCAUUGCAGGAUGGCAUUCCGCUAUAAAUUCAUUGUUCCACCUCCUCUCAUCUUCACAUUUCUCUCCGUUCUCCUCUUGUUCACAUCGACAGACUGGGGAUAACAACAACAACAACAGAAAAGAUACAGGGAGGCGGUUUUGACAAAAAUCCGGGACAGUUUCCGCUUCUAGGGUUUUUCUUUUUUUCUUUUUUUUUUUUUUUUAACCUUCUCACCGGAGACGAGAGGCGAUUUGUGGUGCCUGAAUUUCUUCUCUCCCCUUCUCCUCCUUCUCUUCAAAACAAAAGGGGGCAAAAGAAGGAAAGGGAGCC